rnacentral:rRNA from 1 species
UACAGAGGGGGGCAAGCGUUAUUCGGAAUUAUUGGGCGUAAAGGGCGCGUAGGCGGCUUGGCAAGUGGAUGGUGAAAUCCCUCGGCUUAACCGAGGAACUGCCGUCCAAACUGCUUCGCUUGAGACCGGGAGAGGUGAGUGGAAUUCCCAGUGUAGCGGUGAAAUGCGUAGAUAUUGGGGAGGAACACCAGUGGCGAAGGCGGCUCACUGGACCGGUACUGACGCUGAUGCGCGAAAGCGUGGGGAGCAAACGGG